UAAAAGCAAAAACAAGAAAUGCAAAACUUGC
rnacentral:piRNA from 1 species